AUUACUAUAAGGAACCAACGAUUCUCUCUUCUUAAACAACCUAUAUACUCCACACUUAACCAGCAUUUGAUAGAUUAUCCAACCCCGAGCAAUCUUAGUUAUUGGUGGGGGUUCGGUUCGUUAGCAGGUAUUUAUUUAGUCAUUCAGAUAGUGACUGGCAUUUUUUUAGCUAUGCAUCACACACCUCAUGUGGAUCUAGCUUUCAACAGCGUAGAACACAUUAUGAGAGAUGUUGAAGGGGGCUGGUUGCUCCGUUAUAUGCAUGCUAAUGGGGCAAGUAUGUUUCUCAUUGUGGUUCACCUUCAUAUUUUUCGUGGUCUAUAUCAUGCGAGUUAUAGCAGUCCUAGGGAAUUUGUUCGGUGUCUCGGAGUUGUCAUAUUCCUAUUAAUGAUUGUGACAGCUUUUAUAGGAUACAUACCACCUUGGGGUCAGAUGAGCUUUUGGGGAGCAACAGUAAUUACAAGCUUAGCUAGCGCCAUACCAAUAGUAGGAGAUACCAUAGUGACUUGGCUUUGGGGUGGUUUCUCCAUGGACAAUGCCACCUUAAAUCGUUUUUUUAGUCUCCAUCAUUUACUCCCCCUUAUUUUAGUAGGCGCCAGUCUUCUUCAUCUGGCUGCAUUGCAUCAAUAUGGAUCAAAUAAUCCAUUGGGUGUACAUUCUGAGAUGGAUAAAAUUGCUUCUUACCCUUAUUUUUAUGUAAAGGAUCUUGUAGGUCGGGUAGCUUCUGCUAUCUUUUUUUCCAUUUGGAUUUUUUUUGCUCCUAAUGUUUUGGGGCAUCCCGACAAUUAUAUACCUGCUAAUCCGAUGCCCACCCCGCCUCAUAUUGUGCCGGAAUGGUAUUUCCUACCAAUCCAUGCCAUUCUUCGCAGUAUACCUGACAAAGCGGGAGGUGUAGCCGCAAUAGCACCAGUUUUUACAUCUCUCUUGGCUUUACCUUUUUUUAAAGAAAUGUAUGUGCGUAGUUCAAGUUUUCGACCGAUUCACGAAGGAAUAUUUUGGUUGCUUUUGGCGGAUUGCUUACUACUAGGUUGGAUCGGAUGUCAACCUGUGGAGGCACCAUUUGUUACUAUUGGACAAAUUCCUUCUGUCUUUUUCUUCUUGUUCUUUGCCAUAACACCCAUUCCAGGACGAGUUGGAAGAGGAAUUCCAAAAUAUUACACGGAU
rnacentral:rRNA from 1 species